CUUUUCUUAAACCUCAUAAACCAGCUUCUGCUAGCUUCAAGCUGUUCUGCUGCAGCUUCCUCACCUCUUUCAACCUUUAUAGAAUUGAAGAUAUUUAAGGUCUUGCUCUGGAUUAGGCUUUGGCUUAAGAGAAUGUUGUGGCUGGUUUGGUCUUCUAUCCAGAGCACUCUAACUUGCUCCCUAUUAAUAAUUUCACAUUCUUUUUUUUUGAGACGGAGUUCCGCUGUUGUUACCCAGACUGGAGUGCAAUGGCACAAUCUCGGCUCACCACCAUGGUGAAACCCCGUCUCUACUAAAAAUACAAAAAAAAAUUAGCUGGGCAUGGUGGCGCAUGCCUGUAAUCCCAGCUACUUUGGAGGCUGAGGCAGAAGAAUUGCCUGAACCCAGGAGGCAGAGGUUGCAGUGAGCCAAGAUCGCACCAUUGCACUCCAGCCUGGGUAACAAGAGGGAAACUCCAUCUCACCAAAAAAAAAAAAAAAAAAAAAAAAAAAAGAUCUGCUGGAGUAUAGCAAUUAGAAUGAAAGGCUAAGUUGUGUCAUGGCUGGGAGCGGGGACAGUGAA
rnacentral:lncRNA from 1 species